GUUUACCUUCUCACAAGGUUUAUAAAGCGAGACACGGUAUUAAAUGUUAGUAAUAAAUAAAAGUCCUACGAAAUGAAAGUACGAGCGGUGCUUCUUGUGGUCCUACUGGCCCUGUCUGCUACAUUCUCGGCAGCGCAGAUUUUCUCCUCGCGUCGUUCCAUGACAUGCGUCAACAACAAAUGCCAGUGCGUCGGUGACGGCUGCUGAGCGGCCAUUUUGUCUUCAAAACAAGAUGGCGGACGGCGUAUGAUUUUAUAUGUUUUAAUGUAACGAUUGGAAUACGAUUUGUUUUUUA